rnacentral:rRNA from 1 species
AGCUUGCUCCCUGAUGUUAGCGGCGGACGGGUGAGUAACACGUGGGUAACCUGCCUGUAAGACUGGGAUAACUCCGGGAAACCGGGGCUAAUACCGGAUGGUUGUUUGAACCGCAUGGUUCAGACAUAAAAGGUGGCUUCGGCUACCACUUACAGAUGGACCCGCGGCGCAUUAGCUAGUUGGUGAGGUAACGGCUCACCAAGGCGACGAUGCGUAGCCGACCUGAGAGGGUGAUCGGCCACACUGGGACUGAGACACGGCCCAGACUCCUACGGGAGGCAGCAGUAGGGAAUCUUCCGCAAUGGACGAAAGUCUGACGGAGCAACGCCGCGUGAGUGAUGAAGGUUUUCGGAUCGUAAAGCUCUGUUGUUAGGGAAGAACAAGUGCCGUUCAAAUAGGGCGGCACCUUGACGGUACCUAACCAGAAAGCCACGGCUAACUACGUGCCAGCAGCCGCGGUAAUACGUAGGUGGCAAGCGUUGUCCGGAAUUAUUGGGCGUAAAGGGCUCGCAGGCGGUUUCUUAAGUCUGAUGUGAAAGCCCCCGGCUCAACCGGGGAGGGUCAU